GACGAACGCUGGCGGCGUGCUUAAUACAUGCAAGUCGAACGGAAAGGCCCUGCUUUUGUGGGGUUCUCGUGUGGCGAACGGGUGAGUAACACGUGAGUAUCCUGCCCUUGACUUUGGGAGAACUUCACGAAACUGGGGCGAAUACCGGAUAUGAUCUCCUGCUGCACGGGGGGGGUUGGAGAGAUUCGGCGGUUGGGGAUGGACUCGCGGCUUAUCAGCUUGUUGGUGGGGUAGUGGCUUACCAAGGCUUUGACGGGUAGCCGGCCUGGGAGGGUGACCGGCCACAUUGGGACUGAGGUACGGACCAGAAUCCUACGGGAGGCAGCAGUGGGAAAUCUGGCACAGUGGGCGGAAGCGUGAGGCGACAACGCCGCGUUCGUAAUGACGGCCUUCGAGUUGUAAACCGCUUUCGCCUGUGACGAAGCGUGAGUGACGGUAAUGGGUAAGAAAGCCACGGCUAACUACGUG
rnacentral:rRNA from 1 species